AAUGAAUAGAUUUUUCCAUCCAGGCUUUCUGGCAACUGCCAUAUAGCUUCUUAUUGCAUGAUGGAACAAGGAUUCUCCAUCGUCGUCAAGUAUGUUACACGGUGGAACGCUGCUGAAAGAAAGCAGGGACAUGGCGAACAGGACUUCGGAAAAUGUCUACCCUAAGGGUGAUGAUUACAUUUGUCUUACCAUUAAUCAGCUGUAGGAUAAAACUUGAUGAUUUCCCGGGUAAAACUGUGUUGCUAAUGUAAUGUUACGGAUGCCUCCUAAUCUGUCCAGCAGUCAUUUUCAAGGAUGAUCAAAUCAGGAGGUUAAGAAGAACACAUAGAGCAGCCAGCCAAUGACACACAAUUUAACUGUUUGAUAACUUUUUGGAAGGACAUUGUAUGACGGAGGAUCAGCCAUUCAAAGGGGCAUUUUAUGAUUGGGCUGAAUCACAUUUCUGUUAUUCUGUGGCUGAUAGAUGGACCGCUACUGAUUAACUUUUUUUGCGGUAUUUUUAGAUUUUUAUAGUUUUGAGUUUAUUCAAGAGUCUGCAAGCUCUUUGCUGACUUCCUCAUUCAGAUAUCGCCUGUCGACGAUUUCACAGCCUCACGCAAUUAAAGAACGUAUGACAAAAAGCAAAAAUGAUGUAUUCGGAGCAGAAAAAUGAAGGUGUAAUCCAUUUUAUUGAAAUAGGCACACGACAACGCUCAAUCAACGUCCUUGUCUCAGUGGAGAAUUUUUUCCGUGAAACAUAUGGCCGAAAUAAUAUUGCAGUUGUUCAACAAAGAAAAUUGUAUUGUCAGACAGCAUUAAUGUUUAAUAGCUUGAAAUCCAGAGAUGUGUGAAGUUGCGAAAUUUCUAGAUGUGAAGUGCAAUCAAGCUUCUUGUUGAAU